rnacentral:rRNA from 1 species
GGUGGCUUUCGGGCUGUCGCAGAUGGAUGAGCCUGCGUUGGAUUAGCUAGUUGGUGGGGUAAGGGCCCACCAAGGCUACGAUCCAUAGCUGAUUUGAGAGGAUGAUCAGCCACAUUGGGACUGAGACACGGCCCAAACUCCUACGGGAGGCAGCAGUGGGGAAUAUUGGACAAUGGGGGCAACCCUGAUCCAGCAAUGCCAUGUGUGUGAAGAAGGCCCUAGGGUUGUAAAGCACUUUAGUUGGGGAGGAAAGCCUCAAGGUUAAUAGCCUUGGGGGAGGACGUUACCCAAAGAAUAAGCACCGGCUAACUCCGUGCCAGCAGCCGCGGUAAUACGGGGGGUGCAAGCGUUAAUCGGAAUUACUGGGCGUAAAGGGUCUGUAGGUGGUUUGUUAAGUCAGAUGUGAAAGCCCAGGGCUCAACCUUGGAACUGCAUUUGAUACUGGCAAACUAGAGUACGGUAGAGGAAUGGGGAAUUUCUGGUGUAGCGGUGAAAUGCGUAGAGAUCAGAAGGAACACCAAUGGCGAAGGCAACAUUCUGGACCGAUACUGACACUGAGGGACGAAAGCGUGGGGAUCAAACAGGAUUAGAUACCCUGGUAGUCCACGCUGUAAACGAUGAGUACUAGCUGUUGGAGUCGGUGUAAAGGCUCUAGUGGCGCAGCUAACGCGAUAAGUACUCCGCCUGGGGACUACGGCCGCAAGGCUAAAACUCAAAGGAAUUGACGGGGACCCGCACAAGCGGUGGAGCAUGUGGUUUAAUUCGAUGCAACGCGAAGAACCUUACCUGGUCUUGACAUCCUGCGAACUUUCUAGAGAUAGAUUGGUGCCUUCGGGAACGCAGUGACAGGUGCUGCACGGCUGUCGUCAGCUCGUGUUGUGAAAUGUUGGGUUAAGUCCCGCAACGAGCGCAACCCCUAUUGAUAGUUACCAUCAUUAAGUUGGGUACUCUAUUAAGACUGCCGCUGACAAGGCGGAGGAAGGUGGGGACGACGUCAAGUCAUCAUGGCCCUUACGACCAGGGCUACACACGUGCUACAAUGGGUAUACAGAG